rnacentral:rRNA from 1 species
UACGAGGGGGGCGAGCGUUGUUCGGAAUUAUUGGGCGUAAAGGGUGCGUAGGCGGUUUGGUAAGUCUGAUGUGAAAUCUAUGGGCUCAACUCAUAGUCUGCAUCGGAAACUGCCAGGCUUGAGUGUGGGAGAGGUGAGUGGAAUUCCUGGUGUAGCGGUGAAAUGCGUAGAUAUCAGGAGGAACACCUGUGGCGAAAGCGGCUCACUGGACCAUAACUGACGCUGAUGCACGAAAGCUAGGGGAGCAAACAGG